rnacentral:rRNA from 1 species
ACUGACGCUCAUGCACGAAAGCGCGGGUAUCGAACAGGAUUAGAUACCCUGGUAGUCCGCGCGGUAAACGAUGAUCACUCGCUGUACGGGUUAUGACCCGUGUGGCCAAGCGAAAGCGAUAAGUGAUCCACCUGGGGAGUACGGCGGCAACGCUGAAACUCAAAGGAAUUGACGGGGGCCCGCACAAGCGGAGGAACAUGUGGUUUAAUUCGAUGAUACGCGAGGAACCUUACCCGGGCUCAAACGCGCGGUGAAGCCGAUGAAAGUUGGUGGCCCAGCAAUGGGAGCCGCGCGAGGUGCUGCAUGGUUGUCGUCAGCUCGUGCCGUGAGGUGUUGGCUUAAGUGCCAUAACGAGCGCAACCCCUGUCCACAGUUGCCAGCGGUUCAAGCCGGGGACUCUGUGGAGACUGCCGCCGCAAGGUGCGAGGAAGGCGGGGAUGACGUCAAAUCAGCACGGCCCUUACGUCCGGGGCGACACACGUGUUACAAUGGCCGGUACAGCGGGCAGCCACCCUGCGAAGGGGCGCGAAUCCCGAAAGCCGGUCUUAGUUCGGACUGGAGUCUGGAACCCGACUCCACGAAGCCGGAUUCGCUAGUAAU